UUCAAAGUGGUUCAAGUGUUAUGGUUGGAAUGUUUAGCUAAUUUGUUAAUUGGUUCUUGAAGGUGUUGGGAGUAACGUUGGGCUCCCUUAAAUUCACAACCAAUUUGUGAAUUGUUGAGGGUUCAGUUCGCCAAUAUAUCGGAUUGUUUCGAGGACGUUAGUUGAUUAAGGAGCUUCCCCAACUUUGAGGUAAGGGACUUUCUACUGGACUCACCUAAAGUUUUGAGUUGUGUUGGACUGUAUGGAUGAUGAUUAAGAUGUACAUGUUUGGUUGCAGACUAAAUGUUUAGUGUAUGUUGUAUUUGACUGGAAACAUAUAUAUAUACAUUGAUGUGUGAAUUGAUGUGGAUUGCCGAAAGUAUACAUGUGAAUGACUGAAAUUAUGCUUAUGUGUACAUGAUGAUAUUAAUAGAUUGUGCUGUAUAAAGAUUUGGAUGUGAACUAGUGAAUUUGUUUCGGUUG